rnacentral:rRNA from 1 species
CUACGGGUGGCUCCAGUGGGGAAUAUUGGACAAUGGGCGCAAGCCUGAUCCAGCAAUGCCGCGUGAGUGAAGACGGCCUUAGGGUUGUAAAACUCUCUCGCUAGGGAAGAUAAUGACUGUACCUAGUAAAGAAGUCCCGGCUAACUCCGUGCCAGCAGACCGCGGUAAUACGGAGGGGACUAGCGUUGUUCGGAAUUACUGGGCGUAAAGAGUUCGUAGGCGGACUGACAAGUUAGAGGUGAAAUCCCAGGGCUCAACCCUGGAACUGCCUUUAAAACUGUCAGUCUAGAGACCGGAAGAGGUUAGGGGAAUACCUAGUGUAGAGGUGAAAUUCGUAGAUAUUAGGUGGAACACCAGUGGCGAAGGCGCCUAACUGGUCCGGUACUGACGCUGAGGAACGAAAGCGUGGGGAGCAAACAGGAUUAGAUACCCCAGUAGUC